AGGGUUUGAUCAUGGCUCAGAACGAACGCUGGCGGCGUGGAUAAGACAUGCAAGUUGAACGCGACAUUUACUGUAGCAAUACAGCGGAUGUUGAGUAGCGCAAGGGUGCGUAACACGUGGGUAAUUUGCCGUGAAGUUGGGGAUAACUCGCUGAAAGGCGAGCUAAUACCGGAUGUGGUUAUUGGAAGGCAUCUUCUGAUAACUAAAGGUGGGGACCGCAAGGCCUGCCGCUUCACGAUAAGCCCGCGGCCUAUCAGCUAGUUGGUGAGGUAACGGCUCACCAAGGCUAAGACGGGUAGCUGGUCUGAGAGGACGACCAGCCACACUGGAACUGAGACACGGUCCAGACACCUACGGGUGGCAGCAGUCGAGAAUUUUUCUCAAUGGGCGAAAGCCUGAAGGAGCGACGCCGCGUGGGGGAUGAAGGGUUUCGAUCCGUAAACCCCUGUCAUUUGUGAACAAUGGUUAUUAUUUAAAAGAUGAUGACUUGAUAGUAAUGAAAGAGGAAGGGACGGCUAACUCUGUGCCAGCAGCCGCGGUAAUACAGAGGUCCCGAGCGUUGUUCGGAUUCACUGGGCGUAAAGGGUGCGUAGGUGGCGAUGGAAGUUUGAUGUGAAAUCUCCGGGCUCAACCCGGAAAUGGCAUUGAAUACUCUAGCGCUUGAGGUUUGGAGGGGGGACUGGAAUUCUCGGUGUAGCAGUGAAAUGCGUAGAUAUCGAGAGGAACACCAGUGGCGAAGGCGGGUCCCUGGACAACACCUGACACUGAGGCACGAAAGCUAGGGGAGCAAACAGGAUUAGAUACCCUGGUAGUCCUAGCCCUAAACGGUGCAUGUUUGCUGUAGGAGGAAUCGACCCCUUCUGUGGCGAAGCUAACGCGAUAAACAUGCCGCCUGGGGAGUACGGUCGCAAGAUUAAAACUCAAGAAAUUGACGGGGGCCUGCACAAGCGGUG
rnacentral:rRNA from 1 species